rnacentral:rRNA from 1 species
AUUGAACGCUGGCGGCGGGCCUAACACACGCAAGUCGAACGGUAGCACAGAGAGCUUGCUCUCGGGUGACGAGUGGCGGACGGGUGAGUAACGUCUGGGAAACUGCCCGAUGGAGGGGGAUAACUACUGGAAACGGUAGCUAAUACCGCAUAACGUCGCAAGACCAAAGUGGGGGACCUUCGGGCCUCACACCAUCGGAUGUGCCCAGAUGGGAUUAGCUAGUAGGUGGGGUAAUGGCUCACCUAGGCGACGAUCCCUAGCUGGUCUGAGAGGAUGACCAGCCACACUGGAACUGAGACACGGUCCAGACUCCUACGGGAGGCAGCAGUGGGGAAUAUUGCACAAUGGGCGCAAGCCUGAUGCAGCCAUGCCGCGUGUAUGAAGAAAGCCUUCGGGUUGUAAAGUACUUUCAGCGGGGAGGAAGGCGGUGAAGUUAAUAACUUCACCGAUUGACGUUACCCGCAGAAGAAGCACCGGCUAACUCCGUGCCAGCCGCCGCUGUAA